ACGAACGCUGGCGGCGUGCUUAACACCUGCAAGUCGAACGGAAAGGCCCUGCUUUUGUGGGAUGCUCGAGUGGCGAACGGGUGAGUAACACGUGAGUAACCUGCCCUUGACUUUGGGAUAACUUCAGGAAACUGGGGCUAAUACCGGAUAGGAGCUCCUGCUGCAUGGUGGGGGUUGGAAAGUUUCGGCGGUUGGGGAUGGACUCGCGGCUUAUCAGCUUGUUGGUGGGGUAGUGGCUUACCAAGGCUUUGACGGGUAGCCGGCCUGAGAGGGUGACCGGCCACAUUGGGACUGAGAUACGGCCCAGACUCCUACGGGAGGCAGCAGUGGGGAAUAUUGCACAAUGGGCGGAAGCCUGAUGCAGCAACGCCGCGUGCGGGAUGACGGCCUUCGGGUUGUAAACCGCUUUCGCCUGUGACGAAGCGUGAGUGACGGUAAUGGGUAAAGAAGCACCGGCUAACUACGUG
rnacentral:rRNA from 1 species